GACGUAGGGCGCGAGCGUUGUCCGGAUUUAUUGGGCGUAAAGAGCUCGUAGGCGGCUUGUCGCGUCGACUGUGAAAACCUGCAGCUUAACUGUGGGCGUGCGGUCGAUACGGGCAUCACUGGAGUUCGGCAGGGGAGACUGGAAUUCCUGGUGUAGCGGUGAAAUGCGCAGAUAUCAGGAGGAACACCGGUGGCGAAGGCGGGUCUCUGGGCCGAUACUGACGCUGAGGAGCGAAAGCGUGGGGAGCGAACAGG
rnacentral:rRNA from 1 species